rnacentral:rRNA from 1 species
UUUUCUUUUUUUAUAAUAAUUUUUCAAAAUAUUUCAAUUUUCUUUUACAAUACUAUUAAACUAUAAUUAAAUUUAUUUUUUCUUUAAACAAUACUAAAACUUUUUAUUAUAAAAUUAUUUUUAAUACUUUAAAUUAUAAAUUAAUAAAAUUAAUAAAUAAAAUUUAU